rnacentral:rRNA from 1 species
UACGUAGGGCGCAAGCGUUGUCCGGAAUUAUUGGGCGUAAAGAGCUCGUAGGUGGCUUGUCGCGUCUGCCGUGAAAGCCCAUGGCUUAACUGUGGGUCUGCGGUGGAUACGGGCAGGCUGGAGGCUGGUAGGGGCAAGCGGAACUCCUGGUGUAGCGGUGAAAUGCGCAGAUAUCAGGAGGAACACCGGUGGCGAAGGCGGCUUGCUGGGCCAGUUCUGACGCUGAGGAGCGAAAGCGUGGGGAGCGAACAGG